GGGGGUAGAGCUCAGUGGUAGAGCAUGUGCUUAGCAUGCACAAGGUCCUGGGUUCAAACCCCAGUACCUCCA
rnacentral:tRNA from 1 species